UGGGGAAUAUUGGACAAUGGGCGAAAGCCUGAUCCAGCCAUGCCGCGUGUGUGAAGAAGGCCUUUUGGUUGUAAAGCACUUUAAGUGGGGAGGAAAAGCUUAUGGUUAAUACCCAUAAGCCCUGACGUUACCCACAGAAUAAGCACCGGCUAACUCUGUGCCAGCAGCCGCGGUAAUACAGAGGGUGCAAGCGUUAAUCGGAAUUACUGGGCGUAAAGCGCGCGUAGGUGGUUAUUUAAGUCAGAUGUGGAAGCCCCGGGCUUAACCUGGGAACUGCAUCUGAUACUGGAUAACUAGAGUAGGUGAGAGGGGAGUAGAAUUCCAGGUGUAGCGGUGAAAUGCGUAGAGAUCUGGAGGAAUACCGAUGGCGAAGGCAGCUCCCUGGCAUCAUACUGACACUGAGGUGCGAAAGCGUGGGUAGCAAACAGGAUUAGAUACCCUGGUAGUCCACGCCGUAAACGAUGUCUACCAGUCGUUGGGUCUUUUAAAGACUUAGUGACGCAGUUAACGCAAUAAGUAGGCCGCCUGGGGAGUACGGCCGCAAGGUUA
rnacentral:rRNA from 1 species